UUUUUUUUUGUUUUUUUUUGUUUUGUCUUUUUGCCAUUUCUUGAGCCGCUCCUGCAGCACAUGGGAGGGUCCCAGGGAGCAGCCCUAGAAAAGACAAAAAUAAAAAAUAAAAAAUCUUCAAUCAGUAGAUAUACUCUCAGAUUAGUUAUACUCAGAACUUAGUAUUAUUAUGUAAUUUUCUUUAAGGGUACAUAGAUCUCCCUUGCUUCACCUGGAGACUAUUUCACCUUGUCACCUUUAAAGCAGAAAUGGCAACCUUUUAACCUAUGUAUCUUAUGAAAAUCUUUGUAUCUAUGUUACUCUGCAGUUUGCCAGUCUAAAACAUAUUGGGAAAUUUAGUGGCUGUAAAAGCUUAAUCUUGGACGCUAAUCAGUUUUAUGUGAAGGUGUUUCAGAUUUUUAUUUCCUCGAAUUAAAAUAUCGACUCAAAAGCAAAUAUACAAAGUUUCAUCAAGACAUCAACCACGAAGUUUCUUUGGAUUGUGGUUUCCUAAGGUUUAAAAUAUUAGCAUGAUUAUAUAGAAAAAAAUGUUGAAAUGUUUCACCCAUAUGUAUGAGUACUAAUAAUAUAACGUGUGUGUGUGUGUGUGUGUGUGUGUGUGUGUGUCUUUAAGGGGCUUAUAUAUGCUAUAUAUAUUCUAAAAAGUUAGAAGGAUAUAAAAACUAUGUAACAAAUCAGGUCUGCCUUUUAAAAAUCUGAUUGUACCGGAGUGUCAAACAGUAUGUAUAAUUUCACUCUAAUGUACUCUGUUAGAACUGCUCAGUGUUUUAUUUUGGAACAGAAAUGACAUUCAGAAAGAAACAAUGCACAUUUAUAUGGUAUAGCUACUGAAAUACAGCUACUGAAAGAGAAGUUCCCAUUGUGGUACAACAGGAUCGGCAGCAUCUCUGCAGCACACCAGGACGCAGGUUCAAUCGCCAGCCAAGUACAGUGGGUUAAAGGGAUCUGGCAUUGCCUCAGCUGUCGGGGAGCCAAAAAAGAGGAAAAAAAUAAACAAAGAAAGAAGAAAAGUAACAAUUGCCAAGUAUCUAAAAUUGCACAAAUUGCUACCUUACUAAAGUUAUUAUCUAUUACAUACUUAGUUUUGUUUUAAAAGUAAGGUUGGGCAAUCAUUGUUAGUUUAGUUUUAGUCAGUUAGCUCCUGAUACCUGGGAAUUACAUGGGAAUUAUCAACCAUGAACUGGCUCCAGUACCUGGAGAUGCCUCUUGCUUAAAGUUUCCACAGCACAAGUCCAGACAUCUAUGUGCCCCUGGCCACUGGCAUUCCUGGGAGGCAUCAAAAAGGGACAGAGAGCAUCAACUAAUGUUACUCUGGUCUUUUGUAACCUAUGUUAAGAUCUCCCAUGUUAUAACAAAUGAGGGUAAUAACCCAAGAAAAAAGUAAGUUUUAUUACAUAUAAUUACUAAGGCCUAAAAAUGAUGACAUAGCAUAAGUAUUUCACAUCAUAAGAUGAUAGGAAAAAAAUGUUCCUCGGAUAAAUAUUAAUAUAUACACUGGAAAACAGUAUUACAAAAUAUUUUAAUGGGUCUAUUCAAAGGUACAACUCUCUGCCACUUGCCUUUACAUGCCCUAAUAUCCUCAUCUCAGUAUGAAAAUAAUCAUGGGAGUUCCCGUCGUGGCGCAGUGGUUAACGAAUCCGACUAGGAACCAUGAGGUUGCGGGUUCGAUCCCAGCCCUUGCUCAGUGGGUUAACGAUCUGGCGUUGCCGUGAGCUGUGGUGUAGAUUGCAGACGCGGCUCGGAUCCUGCGUUGCUGUGGCUCUGGCGUAGGCUGGUGGCUACAGCUCCGAUUAACCCCUAGCCUGGGACCCUCCAUAUGCCGCGGGAGCGGCCCAAGAAAUAGCAACUACAACAACAAAGAGAAAAAAAAAAAAAAAAAAGAAAUAUGUCUUCUACGACUAAGACAAUAAUGUGCAUUGAAAACUGAAAACAGAAACUGCUUACAUGAAAAAAAAACAAGACUACAUUUUUCAACUGGUAAUGUCUCAUGUAAUUUUUUAAUUGGCUGAAAAUAUUUUAGAAUAUAUUAAAUACAGUAUCUCUUUUAAGAGGUUUUUUAGUAUAAAAAAUAAAGCAAUGACACUCUAUUAGAAUUAAGUACACCUAACACCCAGGUAUUGAUUGCUGAAUAGCAUUCUUCAAUAAAAAGAAUCAGGGCUUCUUGUAGAGGUGGCCAAUUACAGGGCUGGGACAGGAAAAGUACAAGUUGAGCCUAGAGGAUCUUGGAUUGUCAGAAAGGAAGGAAGUCUUUAAAAAAAAAAAAAAAGAUAAGAGCAUGUUUAAAGCACAUAGGAAUCAAUCUAAAAAGGUACAAAUGCUUUAAAAGUGGAACAAUCUGAUCACCAAAAUAAAUAAUAGUACUGGAUUAUAACCCAAAUGAUGAAAUGAGUAUCCUUGAGUCCACACUGAGAGAGAGAGAGAGAGAGAUGGAUGGAUGGAUGGAAGAGAAGGGAUAACUUUUCUUUAUUUAUGAAUUCCAAGGAGUUCUCUGGUGGCACAAGAGAUUAGGGACCCAGCGCUGUCACUACAGCAGCUUGGAUCACUGCCAUGACGCAGGUUUGAUCCCUGGCCCAGGAACUUUCACAUGCCGUGGACACAGCCAAAAAAAAAGAGAAUUCCAGCUAACGAAUGUAGAAGGAGUAAGAAAACAGAAAAUCACUAGUAGAACACCAGAGUAAUAACAAUUACUGAAGGAAUGAUCUACUUUUGGAUGCUGAAAUCAGCAAGCAAAGUCUGAGAAACAAGAUAUGCACAGUCUCAAAGCACCUCCAACAAAAUAAAUAUUUACUAAUUACAAAGAUAAAAAUAGCAAAUUUUGUAAAUUUACAGUGGAUAAACCUGGCAGACAUUGUCUUCAAAUGAUCAAGGUUAAAAUUACCACCAAUAAGGCAUUUUAACUCCAUGCACUUCUUGUUAGGAUGCACCAGGAAGGGCAAAUCACGCCUGAGGAAUUCUUCCCAAUAAUGCAGAACCUCAGACUAAUCAUAAGAAUACACCAGAAAAACCCAAAUUGGGAGACAUAUUACAAAUUAUCUGACCAAUAUUCUUCCAAAGUGUUUAGGUAAUGAAAUAUAAGAAAAGACUAAGGAACUUCCACAGAUUGAAGAGGGCUAUGGUAAUUUUUUUUUUUUUUUUUUUUUUUUUUUUUUCUUUUUGCCUUUUCUUG
rnacentral:lncRNA from 1 species